AACAAAAAACAAACAAAAAAGAAUUCGACCAGUGGGUGCUUUCCCCUAUUUUCUGGAUGGAGAAGAAGAAUCGAAGAGGCACUCAGGAAUUGCCUGGAGAAAUAUGACCAAUGAUACAGUAAAUAUAUCUACAAUUACUCACAGGAGUCACUAAAGCAGGUUUCACUCCUUUGUAAAUGUCUCUUCCUUGUAGCGCAAAGGAAGUUCCUAAUGGCAUGUGUCUUUCUUCUUUAAUCCAAUAUACCUUGAGAACAAUAAUAGUAGUAGUUUCAGAAAUACCAAAUUACAUUUAUGCAAUACUGUAAAAUUUACAAAGUUGAGCAUUAGGAAUUCAUGUUUGAAAAAAUAUUAAUUCUGGACAAGUGAUUAGUCAGGUAGGAUGACAGGAUUUGGAAAUGAGGGAGUGAGUAUUGGUCAUAAAUGAACAAAUAUCUCAUUGGGCGUGCUGGAGGUCCUGCUCUUAGAGGAGGAAAUCUGCCAUUCCACACUGCAGUACUCUGGAAUGCCUCAGAACCUUCCUUUGCAAAUUAGAACAGGGAUAGAGGGAAGGGUCAUUCAGAAUUUGAGCUAAUUAGAUCAUCUAGCCAAUAGGAGAAAUGUUAGACCGGCACUUUUUUUGUAAUCCUAACUUGCAUCAUACACUGGUUUUGUGAACGGGCCCAAAGAACUCCUUGAAGGGAACAUGACACAAACCUCAGUGGAGGCUAUUUAGCCCUGUUCCCAGGACCAUGCCAACUGCCUAGUGCCAGCGAAAACUGUCUCCACAAGUCCAGCACUUGGCAGGCACCACCUGACCCUCUGCCUUGAGUUCAGAAAGGAUUUUUUAAAUUCACAUACUGUAAAAUUUACCUGUUUAAACUGUACAAUUCAGUGGUUUCAGUAUAUUAACAGUUAUAUGACUAUCAUCAUUACCUAAUUCCAGAACCUUUUUAUCACCUCAAGAAGACGUCAUACCCAUUGGCAAUCACUGCUAAUUCCCUUCCUUCUGCCCUCUGGGCCCUGGAAACCACUCAUUUUUUGUGUCUAUAGAUUUUCCUAUUCUGGACAUUUCAUAUAAAUGGAGUCAUGCAAUAUGUUGUCUUGUGCGUGUGGCUUCUUUCCUUUAAUGUCUUACAGUUUAUUCAUGUUGUAGCUUAUAUCAGUACUUCAGUCUUUUCUACAACUAAUAGUCCAUUGUAUGCAUAUAGUACCUUUUGUUUACCUCUUCAUCUGUUCAUCCUUUCAGAAGGAUCUUGGUACUAGUCUGAGCUGAACUUGAAAGCUACAGACAAUGAGUUUUUUUUCCAUCUCCUAACAUAGUAAAAAUCAGCGUUUUAGGAAGAUUAUUGUGGUGGGCCCAUAAAGACCAGAUCUACGGUGAGGCAGAGAUGGAGGAUGAUGAAAUUUGGAGCCUCAUUCUAUUAAAUUGGAGAGAAAAGUCAAGGUCACCAAGGGAAUCUUUGUGCAAGAAGCAGACUCAUUCUCAUUCUCUCUCUCCUCUCUCUCUCUCUGUCUCUCUCUCUCUCUCUCUCCCCCUGCCUGUCUCCAGUUCUGACCAUAAAGCCGUAAGGCCACAGGCUUUAAAGAGUGGCUAUCCUGGGGUUGAGGGCCCAGUGGUGGUUUCAACCUUGUCUCAUACUUCUCCUGGCAGCUCUGUUGAAAAUCAGCCGACCACACUCCUUCCUGGAACAUACAUCGCUGAUAAUUGCCUCUUGCACAAUUAUCUGCCAAACCCCGUUGUUAAUGAAAUGAAUGAUUUAGUUAUCCUUGUUAGUAAUGGCCCACACUGCACAAAGACCCAUUAUUGCAUCCAUGAGGCUGGCAGGAGUGCCGGCCAAGGCACCUGUGAGCGAUUCUUAAAAUUAGCUCUCUUACCAGCUUGAUUGGAGAGGAGAAGGCUGCCAGUGGCCACAGGGGUGCAGCCUGUCCCCUGCAUGGUCCCCACGAUGCAUCAAGAGCUGGGAGCAUCUAGGGGCAAAAUAAGAAAUGAGGCCAGGACUGAGCUCUUUGUUUGCCAGUUUUGACCUGCAAAGCCUGGGGCCGCUUCCCCCUAGCACAGGGGAAGGACAGCCUGAAGGACGGUGGGGACAUGCAUCAUGUCAGGUUUCCUUGGGUCCAGGGAGCAGCUCGGCUGACUGGCAGAUGAGGUACCUUGAAGCAUAUUGGGGUAUCCUAUUAAUAAAACACCUCUCCCCAUCACACACCACGGCACAGCUCCUCGCCCUCCCUCAACUCCUCUGCCAAAGAGAACAUCUUUCCUUUGCUGGUAAUACUGGGUUUUUGCUCCCCUCCCUCCUUGCUGCCCAGAGUGGCUGUACAGUACUGCUCUUUCGUUUCCUGUUAGGCCCCAUCUUCCUCUAGUGCUCGUUCCUGCUGCUUUUCAAGGGAAGGGAGAACACGAGCAAGAGAAGUAGACACAAAUGGGCAUGACUGGGGCAAGUAGAACUGCUCAAGGUAAAUAGAGACACAAACAGAGAAAGUAAUUUGCAGGACAUUGUGUUAACGCACACAAGAAUGUGUACACACACACACACACACACACACUUGCACAUACACAUUUCAUCUUGUCUUCGGGACGAUGACAUUCAGGAAUAAGUUCUUCAGUUUGGGAAAUAGCUGCCCAGAGUUGUGACUGAGAAAUGUGUUUCAGCUUAAAGAGACUAGACUAACAUGGGGUUAAGGGACUCUUGCGAAAUGAGCAGAACCAAGUGUGCAUUGAGUGUGCACAGAGGCAGGUAUUAGAGGCUGUGUAAUGGGGUGGGUGGUCCGUGCAUUGACCCGGCUUCACUCCUUUGGCUGGUUGUGACUCUGCAUAAGCCAUUUAAUCCACAGCAAAAGAUAGAUGCUUGAAAACUGCUUUCACACAUACAGAUUUAUUCAUGUUGACAACCUCUGCAUGCCACUCAGUAAAAGUUUCCAGGCUACUUGCAAUAAUAAUGCAACAGAAGGAUAAACUAAUUUAUGUCAGAGGAACAUAAUAUGUAAAAAAUAUAAUAAAAUGAAAGGUGAGAUUAGCACCUGAAAAUCUCUCUAUUAAUGACUCAAAAGCCUACUAAUAUGGCCCUGAGAGGUAUGGCCCUUCCUAAUUUUGACAGUGAGAAAUAUAUCACCCUGGGUCCUGAUAGAGAGGACCUGUGGAGGCAGAGGGCAGUGCCCUGGUUAACACCCCUCCAGUGGAGAAGGAGAAGACCCCAUUACGACUGCUAUAUGACAGGGGAGGCCAGCACUCCCGCCAGUACACGGCAAAGUACCGUGGCCCAAAUUAUCCAGCUUCAUCUUCACUGUCUAUACCAGUCAUGUUCAAUGACUUAUAAAAAGCAGUGAUACUCUUCUAGUCCAAUAAAAUCUUGCACAAGCACAGAGAAAACAGGGAGGGUGGGUCACUGUUUCAGAGGGGGAAGGGCUGACCAUUUUCUUAGGGCCUCUCUUUCCCCACGCGGAGACUGGUGAGGCUGAUGAGGCACCUUUGCUCUGAAUCCCAAGCGUCUGAAAACCCCUUGUCCGAUCUAGGUGAAAGGAUGGAUAUCAGAAAGCAAGGAGGGAGGGAGGGGAGAAAUAGAGGAAUGAAGGGAGGGAGGAAAGAAUGUUGGUUUUUAUUGCCACUUGCGCAGGAGUCUUGUGGGAGCCAGUGGGGAAGUUGUUAUUUUGAAUCGGGUAAAUUGGGGCUUCCUCUUCUUGUUCGUCAAGACCACUUUUUGGCUCUUUUCAUCCCAAUAAAACAAACCAUGAUACACUAAGAGACUGAAGAGACAGUACAAUGCACUUUUUUAAGUGUCUGGGCUCCAAACCAAACUGCCUGGGUUUGAAUCCUGGCCCUGCUACUUAUUGCUGUGUGAUACUGGACAAGUUACUUAACGUCUCUGUGCCUGUUUUCUCAUCUGCAGAAAUAGGUGCUGAUAGUACCUACCUCGUGGGAUUAUUGUGAGGAGAAAAUGUGUUGGCAUGCGUACGACCUUUAGAAUGGCGUUUGCCACAUGGUCUGGGAAUAAAUGUCAGCCGUUAUUAUGUUGUGGGUAUAUAAAUACACUACUCCUUGCAAUGUCAGUUUUUGCUCACACAAUUUCCAGCCCUCUGCCCUCAGGUGAGCCAGCCUGUCUCAUCUCAGGGCCUCACGGUGGCUUAGCUCACCCGUCAGUGGGAGCAGGUGGCUGAGCUGCAGCCAGGGUUCUGUGAGCGUGGUGGGUUGGGGAGGGAAAGGAGUGAGGUUUGGAGUCCUUUUGUUGUUUUGCUUGGGUCAGAAGGAGUCUGCGGUAGCAUGCAGUCAUCAUCUUAUUUUACAGCUGCAGGAUGUUGGUAGACAAACUUCUCCCUAAUCUAUAUGAUCUAUAAGCCCAAAGGGAAACAGGGGGCGGUCACAGGAGCUCAGUGGCCUCCUCUUUCACAGCAGCUAUGUGAUGUGGCUGAGCUCUGAGAAAGAGCACUUGGCUAUGGUGCAACUGGCCUGAAAUUCAUAGCCCCAUUCUCUUGAUCUGAGUUGCUUCUUGGGGAUGAGCGUGGCACCACAGCGUCUCAGGUGCUAUAUAGGGGACUUCCCAUGAGUUUCCCAUAUCAGUUGUAAGAUGCUGUCUAUACAGGAGGGGAUGGUUUUAUGAAGACACAGGGGAGAGUUACCAGCAGAUUGAUGGCCAAAGCUUUGAGCUAGAUGGUUUUCAUCUUCCUGAAACAUCACCCUAGGGUUUUCCUGAUGUUUCCAUCAAUCUGUUAAGUGCAGUGUGUGGUCGUGUCCCUCAGGGAGUUUCCCAUUUACUCUGGAAGACCAAACUUACAGGCUACACUCUGGGUGCAGACAGUGCUAGUCCUGUGGGGAGUUGGGAAAAAGGAGUGGGAGGCUUUGCGGCCGAGGAGGGGCUUCAGGGCAGCAAGGAUGACGGCUGGGUUUGAACAGUCAGUGGAGAAGGAAGUGUGGAAAGGCCAGAGAAGUAGACAUGGAUGUGUGCAUGCCAGAGAAGGCAGGCAGACAGGGCUCAUGGAGGGGGCAGAAGCAGCACAUUGAUCUCUGCUUCUGCCAGAAGAUCAGAGGGGAUAUCAGGGGGGUGGUCUGGCCAGAGUAAGGGCAGACUUGAAGCCCCAGUGGAAUAAUUUUGACUUGAUUCUAUGGAAAAUGACAUAAAACAGUGUAGGAGGGCUUGUCUUCUAACUGAAACCAGCUGGGAAUCUUUCCCGAUUGUCAAGGGCAGGGCAGAGAGAGGGCCUUUGGCAGCAUGUGCAAAUGCACAUGCAUGUAACCAGUGUGUGUGGCCCACCGGGCUUCUAAACCUACCUUUACCUCUUCUAGUUCUUCAAAUCUCUUAACCCUCUUGUCUGUGAGCAUGAACAAUCCGGGGCUUACACAGACAAGACCACAGUGUGCCAUCUUGUCAGAAGGAGAAACUGAGGCACUCUAUUGUAAAGAAGCUGGUUCUAGGACCUGCCCUUGAGUCACUGUGUAGUAAGACCCAGCGUGUGGGCCCUUCCUUCAGGGAUCUGGCUUCUAAAGUUGGUUUUUUUCCUGUAUCUCAUAAAGAGGGAAAGGAUGUGCCUAAGAGAGGUUAUUUGGACGAAUGGCCAUUUUAAUUGCCUUCUAUCAGGCACAGGUGGAUAGAGACAGGUGUGGGAAAGAGGGUUGCCUGGACCUGGGUUUCCCAAUCCCCCAUACUCCUUGGCCUAUCAUUGAGAGGCAGCUAGAGGAGGCGUGCGGACUUAGCAGAUUAAGAAAGAUAAACGCUUACUCUUUAACAGUGGGAAAGAGGGACGGAAGAAUAAGAUUGAAAUCUGUGGCAAGAGGACUGGCCUAGCCUGGUGGAGGCAGGAGAGGCACGUGUGCUCUACAUGCCCAUCCAAGUCUCUGGUAGGGUGGUCCUUGCUCUGAGGGAAGAGUGUGGGCCACAGGCCACAGCGACGCUCUGAGGAUGUGGGUGCUGCCCAUCUUGAAGUUUCUCCCCACCCUCUCCGGAGCUGCUACCAUUGUCCUUUGCCCUCGGAGUGCUCUCCUCCCACCCCCACUGCCUCUUGUUCUCUUUCUCCCUUGGGCCAUUAGAAUGGCAGGCAGCCCAGCCAGGGCCUGGACGGCGGCCUCAGCUCCCUGUUCUCAAUAAUUGUGUGUGUGUGCAUAUGUGCAUGUGUACGUGUGAGUGCCUGUGUGUGUGUGUGCGUGUGUGUGUAGGGGCUGGGGCUGGGGUCAACAACAGAUCAGAGCACAGGAGUAGAGAGCUUCUGGGAGGGUGGGGUCACCCAUGAGUCACGUCCUACACCCUGGAGCCCAGAGGACCCUUCGCUCAAACCCACCACCAGCUGGCAACACCGGAGCAGCCAGAGCCGCUUUCUUCACUGCCCAGAGGAGCCUGGGAGAAGCCAGAGGUGUAAGUCAAGCUAUGGAGGACUGGGCGUGGCUGAGCUCCAUGAGAAGUGGGAGGAGCCAGGGAUGCUUAGGAGGGGCAGGCACUGUGCAGCGAGAGAGGAGGGAAAGGGGAAGCGUUUGUGUCUCUCUGCCCCCUGUCUCCCUCCUGCUGCAUAGUAGCCACAUCCAUGUCUCUUGUACCCUGCAAUCUGGAGGCCACUGCCAGAAGCUGGAAAUCCCAAGUAGAGCAGCAAAAGGUAUGAGGAUUGGCACGAAGUGAUGGCCAGUGGAGGCUCCCCAAAGUGCAUGGAAGGUGGUGGUCAGGUCUAAAGGCAGGAGUGCUGGGGCAACCCCAUAGCUGGGGGUCCUCUGGGAGAGGCUGAGGAACUUCAGUCUGUGGACUCUCAGGCAGCUGUGUUACUGAGGAGAGGAAGGGGAAGUAGACGGGGUAGGGGUGGUGGUUUGAACAAGACCCAAAUCCUGCUUCUACUUAUAGGUGCUCACAAAGGCCAGUGCCCUGGAAAAGCUCUGGAAUAAAUACACCUGGGCCUUAGAAAGCAGAGGCAGGAGACCGUGCCAUCCAGUGGGGGCUUUCAUUUGUUUCCUCAGCCAGCCUCUGUGUCAGGGUUUUUGGGAACAAGGGCUGGAAGAACAAGGCCUUGGGAGUUCCUGUGGGGAGGGACUGGGAGUGAAUGGGCAGUGUGGCUGGCCCGGUGGUCACUUCUCCUCUGCUUGUCUAGGCUUGAGGACGGAUUCUUGGCUCCUGGGGCAUUGCCACUCCCUGCCACCCUCCUUCUUGUCUUCUGUCUUCUCCUGGUGGCAUCAGGCCUUGCUUCGUGUCCCAACAGGAGCCUCUGGGGCUGGCACAGCCCUCACUGCCUGCAACCUGGGCCUGGUGGUUCUUCUAGGGUGCCUCUCGGAGGUCGAGGCCACCCCGCUGCUGGCUAACUGCAGUUACUUCUGCCAGCCAGUGGACUACAGAUGGAACAAGCAUGGAAUGAGGGUAUGGCAGGGAGCAGGAAGCAAGCCUGGAGAGGGUUAGGAGAAACAGCUUCAUAACAAUCGGAGGUCAAGGAGGCAUCUUUCUGGAGACAGGUAGGCACUGUGGAAUCAGCGGUGCGUAGAACAGUGAGGAUUUGGGGCUGAACCCAGCCCAGGUGGAACAAGCCGUGGCACCAGCCGGACUGCAGUCUGAUGGAACUUCCCCUUCCUGCCCAGCAGAUGGCGAGCAUGUGCUGCUGGUGCCUCUUUCCAAAGGAUGUUGAAUUGCUUGUCAGGUGUUCUUUACUUUAUGAAUGAAGCCAGAGCAGCCCACCUUCCUGCAUCUCUACCACCAUGGCACCAUGCCCUGUGAUGGGUGGGCUGGAGUCAAAUACGUAGCAGACAGCCAGGGUCAGUUUGUGGCCACUGUGCCCCCUCUUCCUACAGUCUCCUCACCGAGUGCCCCUUCCCUGUUGGGUUCAACACAUCUGUGCUCCUGUAAGCCCUCAGCCUCCUCGUUCUCUUCCUCAACUUCUACCACCAGACACACCUGAGAGGCAAACAAGAGAGGCUGAACUAGGAGCAGGACACAGGGACUGAAACCAGCACAGCAUCCCCACAAAGAAUUGAGUGGAAGGCAGCAUGGCUUCCAGCUUACUGGUGCCAAGCAGAUUCCUCUGGGUCUCCAUUGUAUCCUCUGAAUGAAGGAGGAGGAUUGCCUUCUGUCCAGAUCUCAGGAUCAAACAAAUAAGUCCAACUUCCUGUGCUCACUUCAGUUAGAGCACUUCUCAUGUGACUUUGUAGCUUUGUGUGCAUCUCUUUCCUCUACUAGACCUAAGCCCCUCACUGGAGGGACUCUCUUAUUCUCAAUGUUCCCCACACCUGGAAUUUCAAUAAACAUCUCAAUAAA